rnacentral:lncRNA from 1 species
GUCCAGGAAGAAUGCUCAGUUGUGUCAGCCAACUGUCAAGUAUCUGGGAUUCCAUAUCUCUGAAGGUCAAAGGAUAAUGGGGCCUGAAAGAAAAGAGGCUGUAUGCAAAAUACCAACACCUAAGAAUAGAAGACAAGUGCGAGAAUUCUUAGGGGCAGCAGGCUUCUGUAGGAUAUGGAUUCCCAGUUAUGCGAUACUGGCGAAACCCCUCUAUGCCGCUAUUAAAGGCACAGAACAUGAUUCCUUCCUGUGGACCAUCG